rnacentral:rRNA from 1 species
AAUCAACGCUGGCGGCGUGCCUCAGACAUGCAAGUCGAACGAUUAAAGCUCUCUUCGGAGAGUGUAUAGAGUGGCGCACGGGUGAGUAACACGUAAGUAAUCUACCCUCGAGUGGGGAAGUAACGUCCGGAACGGACGCUAAUACCGCAUAAUGCAGCGGCACCGCAAGGUGACAGUUGUUAAAGAUUUAUCGCUUGAGGAGGAGCUUGCGGCAGAUUAGCUAGUUGGUAAGGUAAUGGC